rnacentral:tRNA from 1 species
GGGUAUAGCGUAGCCCGGUUAUCGCGCCUGCUUUGGGAGCAGGAGGUCGCAGGUUCGAAUCCUGCUACC